rnacentral:rRNA from 1 species
GACAGAGGGUGCAAGUGUUGUUCGGAAUCAUUGGGCGUAAAGGGCGCGUAGGCGGUUUUGUAAGUCGAAUGUGAAAGCCCAGGGCUCAACCUUGGAAGUGCAUCCGAAACUGCGAAACUUGAAUCCUGGAGAGGGUGGUGGAAUUCCCAGUGUAGAGGUGAAAUUCGUAGAUAUUGGGAGGAACACCGGUGGCGAAGGCGACCACCUGGACAGAGAUUGACGCUGAGGCGCGAGAGCGUGGGGGAGCAAACAGG